UUCGGAUUUUGUCGAUUUGUCAUUCUGAACUCUGAACACGGAACAGUGAACACAAUGACGAUAUACUUUUAUAAUAAUAUAUUAUUGUACCUACAAUUAUGAAUAUUUUUUUCGUUUUGUUCAAAAAGAUUUGAAAUAAAUAUUUCCAUGAAAACUUGGUUACCAGAAGAGAUAUUAUUUUGAACAAGAAUUUAAUUAACAUAAUUAUUUUAUAAUAAAAUAUGUUAAAUUAAAUAUGAAUAUAUGACGUAUAAUGGAAGUAAUGUAGAGUGCUUGAUUUGGAAAAAAACUAGAAGAGGGACUCAGUGGAUGUUGGAUGAACGAGCGUUCCACACAAAAUUCAAUAUCACAUUACUGUGCGGAGCAAAGCAAAG